rnacentral:lncRNA from 1 species
CUGAAGUAUAAACUGCUAUGGUCCCUGUUUCAUAUAAAGAAUCCGAGCAGUGGAGAUGUACAGAACUUGCUUGAGGUCUCCCAGCAGCUGGGACUCAGGGGCAGGAAUCCAGCACAGAUGGUCUGUGACCUGUGCAUGUCACCAACAUGGCUGCAACAUCUUGCCAUGUAGUUCUGAUUGACUUGGUUUUCACUAUGUGGCUCAAGAUAGCCUGGUACUUGUGGUAAUCCUCCUGCAUCAGCCUCUUAAACACUGGGAUCACAAGGGAACACCACUUCACCGGCUGUGUGUACUCUGGCAUGGCAAAUGGACAGAGUGACAUCUCCUGUCUCACAUGACAUCACUCAGUUGUUUGGUGUCCUCACUCCGAUUUUGCAGAUGAGGACCCUGAAAGAGCUCCUUCAGAGCGGGGCUGUGCUGGAAUGAGGAGCUGCGCUGCAUAGAAGCCUCAGCUGGCCUCUUGCUCCAAACUGGAGUGUUGUUGAGACCCCACCUCAAGCCCCUGACUGCAUUAUCUCCUGACAACCAGGAUUUGGAAGAAGUAUUUGUGGUUAUGAAUCGGUCCAUUUUGAUGACUCUGGAAGAGAUGUCUGCGUGGAUAUAAUGUAAUGACACAAUCUCUCCUUUGCUUAGAUGGAGGCAAUCAUAGGCCAAGCAAGAUCUUGGAUGGGUCUCUACCCGUCAUCAUGGCAAAGUCAACCUCAGGCCAUCACUCAAGGAACUGAAAUGGUGAACUAAUGAGUGCAGUUUCAGCAUCUACACAUGGUCAUAUAGUGCUGGCUGUGCAGCUCAGUGGGUAGAGGGUCAGCCUGGCAUUCGAGAGACCCCCGAGUUCAGUCCCGAGGACUAUCUAAAACAAGGCGGUGCAGGUACACAGGCCUGCAAUCUCAGCUCUUCCAGAGGUGGAAGCUGGAUGGUAAAGGAAUUCAGGUUCACCUGGUCUCUAAAUAAUAAAAGGAAACUGUGAUCUAAAUAUGAUAAUUUACUAUGUAGCAAUAGAAUGUGAGUAUUGGUGUCUUCUAUCUGACAAAUUGGAUUAGGUGCAUAUUUUAUUUUAUCUUUAAAUUUGAGACAGGGACUGGAGAGAUGGUGUAGCCAUUGAGUGUACAGGUAUGAGCUGCUCUUCCAGAGGACUGCAGUUUGGUUUACAGCUCACAGCAGCCUGAACGCCAGGUCCAGAGGGACAUGAGGUUUCUGACCCCUGAAGGUGCCUGUGCUCAUGUGCACAUAGUCUGCACCCCCAUCACAUAUAUACAUAAAUAAAUUGAUAUAGAAGACCAAGACUGAUGAACUGAGUGGAUCCCUGGGGCCCACAUGGUGGAAGGAGAAUGCUGAGUCUCACAGCUGUUCUCUGACCUCUGUGUUAAUGCUAUGGCAACACACUCCCAUAUAAAUAUAUGCCUAUAAAGGAAAGUGAGAUAGAUUUCAAAUCUAUUGAUGUGUACCUGGGUCUUGGUGCUGUGACUUUGUCUCUGUGGUGCCGGCCUCACUCUCCAAGGCUUUGUCACGUCAAGCCUGCAUCCUCUCUGGGGCUACUCUCUAAUAUGUGUGGUUUUUCUGUUGUUUUUGUUUUGUUUUGUGAGAAGGGUCUUGCUGUGUAGCUUAGGCUGGUCUCAAACUCUUGGGCUCCUUAUCCCCCUGCAUCAGCCUCCUCACUAACUGGCAGGCACACACCACCACGUCAACUUACAACCUGAGUUUUGGCAAAUGUGUAAUUGCCACUUUAAUUGAGAUGGGCGUGUGAUUUGACUCCCAAUCUCUGUGAAUACCUUUGUAGUAUAUCCCACCUUCAACUGUCAAUUCUUUUAAAAAAAGUAAUAAAAAGUUUUAUGUGUGUGGUGUUUUGUCUGCAUGUUCUCCUGUGUAUUACUUGUGUGUCUUGGUGCUGGAGGAAGCUAGAAGAGGGUGUUGGAUCCCCUGGAAUUGGAAUUAUAGACAGCUGUGAACCACCAUGUGGGUGCUGGGAAUGGAA